rnacentral:lncRNA from 1 species
UUCAUGUGGUUUGUGGGAAUGGUAGGAUGAAGAUAUGCCACCACAUGUGACGAUGCUAAUCCAUAAUUUGAAUAAUUCACUGAAAUCAGUGAAAGUUGAAAGAAAUUAUUUGAAGAAGAUGGUGGCUAACUUGGAAGUUGUUGUUUCUGCGGAAAGACUAAAAAUGGAGAAAAUAACAGAAGAUGUCGAGGGAAUUAAUUCAGCAAAAUUACAAAAAGUUUCUAGGAUGGAGGCUCAACUACAAAAUAUAAAGUUGUUUAUUGUGUUUUCUUGGAUUGUCUUUGUGUUAGUACUAGUUUUCAAGAUGAUGUAGCGUAGUUCUGUUAUGGUGUAGUUAUGUUAUGAUGCACAGGUUUGAAGUUUAUGUAUUAUGUUUUGAAGAAGUUUGAAGUUAAACCACAAAAUUGAAAUAUGAAGUUUGUAGAUGUUUAAG